rnacentral:lncRNA from 1 species
CUUCGUUGCCAAGGGCAUAGGAUUUGAGAACACAGCGGGAGCCGCAAAGCACCAGGCCGUGGCACUGCGUGUGCAAUCAGACUUUUCCAUCUUCUACAACUGCUACAUUGAUGCGUACCAAGACACCCUCUACACCCAAACCUACCGGCAAUACUACCGUGACUGCACCAUCUCCGGGACAGUGGACUUCAUCUUCGGAGAUGGUGUGGCGAUGUUCCAAAACUGCAGGAUGGUGGUUAGAAAGCCAGGGGAUUCACAGUCUUGCAUGGUCACGGCCCAAGGCAGGACCGACAAGAAUGAGAUCACAGCCAUUGUCCUCCAAAACUGCACCAUCACUGGUGAGCCAGACUACAUGGCUGUAAAGGACAAAAACAAGGCCUACUUGGGGAGGCCAUGGAAGGGCUUUGCAAGGGUGGUGGUGAUACAGUCGCAGAUUGACAAUGCGAUUGCGCCCGAAGGAUGGACAGAAUGGACUGGUGAGAAAUUUCACACUAGUUGCUUUGUGGCUGAGUCCGGCAACAGGGGUGCUGGGGCUGACAUGUCCAAGAGGGUCAAAUGGCAAACCCUAAUGAAGCUUACUCCAGAACAAGCUGCGGCUUUCACCCCUGCGAGGUUGUUUGAGGGUGAUAAAUGGGUCAAACCCAGUGGGGUUCCUUAUGUUUCUGGCAUGAUGUCUGUGUAGAUCCCCAGAUGAAAAAUCUUACAACACCAAUUCUUUUCUUAGGAAAAGAAAAACAAUUUUACUUCACAGCUUGAUUCUGUGUCUUGUGAAGUUGUGAUCUUGUGGGAUGCCUUCCCUUUGUUUAUGAAUAUGAAUAUAUAUAUCACACAUUUUUGUUAAGCUAGUUGUACCCAUUAACAAUUUUGUUUAGACAUUUUUGUGAAUUUGAACUGCUACGUACAUACGGAUGAGAGGGACGUACCCACUAGCAGCCCAGGUAACUUUUUUUUUUUUUUUUAAAAGUUAAAUUAAUACUCUAGCCUAGGUCAGAUUACACACAAACAAAAAAAGGAAAAAAAAAGAAAAGAAAAAUAUUGGUUCUUUGCCAUCAAUCAGUGGCUGUAAAUGGCAACCAAUUUUAUCAUAAUUACUUUCAAUUUCAAACAAACCUUCAUCCAAAUAAGUAUUAUUAACUAUUCCCAUUAGGACUAGGCUAUACAAAUAAAAUAUUAUUAACUAAUCCAAGUAGAAUUAGGCUAACCAACAAAAGAACUAAACCCCACAUCCCACGUGAAAAAAUUAGACUCCCACUAGGCAUAGACAUUCCCCCUCUCCUUUACCCAAAAAAAAACAAAAAGAAUCAAUAAUUAGUGAUUUUAAUAGGUUUUUGUUAUCAAUGAAAUUUACUCGUACCAUUUAGUUUUCAAUAUGUUUGUACGUAAGCUAAAUUUAGCCCACGCCAUUCUGAAAUCUUGGGUCCGUCAAACUCCUAUGCUCUUGAGGUUUAAAGUUAGCCCAUUUGUUGUCUCAGGUCACUGGAGAUGGUUAUUUCCUUAUCUGCCGCUCAGCUAUCUCUUGACUCGAAGAGCUCCCAAAGUUUCUUAAAAAUGUUCUAUUUGAGAACUGUAACAAGUAGUUUUUUGGGAUAUAAGCCCAUCUUUUAUACUUGUCUCAUUUUCUCUAAUAAAGAAAAUCAUAUUGCCUUCUCUCAACAAAAAACAAAAAAAAAAAAAAAAAAUUUGCCCUUUUAAACAAUCAUUAGAACGCAACCUAAGGGUUAAAUAUGAUUUCUGGAUAUUAGCUGGGAUGCUUCAUAUUGACCGAGAUUCUUACGUUUUCUUGUGGCAAUAAUUCCUCACGUAUUUCUGCCCCACAUCCAAAAGAUAACUCAUCAAAUUUGUUAGUUACGUCUGACUUGUGUAAACUAACAAAAUAACACAACUUUCUAAUUUCAAAGUUAGGUGCAGAAAUCAAAUAAAAGAAGGAAAAUAUAUAAAACUUUAUCUAUAUAUGUAUCAUCUGAUUGAGACAAACAUAAAAUGCAUUUGUCCUACUGAGAGGCGAUUUGUAAGUAAUUUAUUAAAUAGUAAUACCAUGGUCGCACAUACAAUUUACAAACAUUCAUGAUUACCUUUGCAAACUAGAGACGCCUUCUCCUUUCUUGAGGGUUAUAGCUGUUGGCAACGAUAUUAUCCAUUGGUAAUGGCAAAAUUUGGUAUAGUGCUAUUAUAAGCUCUUGUCAAGUUUUGUAUGUAAAUUUUUGCCUAUUUGAAUUUGAAAUUCUGAAUCCGUCACUGCUAUAGACCAAUAUGACCAUACUUAGAUCUACAUUGGCACGAUAUUAUUCUAUGGAAGCAGGCGGGCAUUUUUCUCGUAAGCAAGCAUCAUAUGUAUAGUUCUAUAUGUUUAUGAAAAUGAAUUGAUUGGAAAGCUAGUUGGAUUGCCUUUAUAUAUUUAAAGCAUUAGUUUUAUAAAUAAACACUGAUGCUAAAGUUCCUUCCGUGUGUCAAAAAAACGUUGAUUCUGAAUGCCUAAAUCUACAACGGUAUCGGCAGUUUUAAUAGUUCCAAUGCUAAAUACGGUUUGUAGCAUUAAAAUUUUAUAUUACACUGAUGUAUUUUUCGACUUACAACAUCACAAAAACCAAUAGAGCUUAUGGUACUUCUAGUUAUAGGCAUCAGUUAUCUUAUGAGUGAUGUUGUUUUAAAUUUUGAACUUUACUUGUUUAUGAAAAAUUAAAGUUGUUAUGAACAAUAUCAUGGUGUGUUGUCUAUUGUACAUCAAAAAGCAUAUAUAAAUAUAUCCAGCAGUUUCAUAAAUCACAAUUUUUCCAACCCCACAUAUCACAACAUUUUUUGCAAUUUACAUAUAACAACAUAUUUCUUAAUUUAUCAACCUUGAAUUUGAGUACAAAAGAGAAAUAUAGUAUAACAAACCAAAUAAAUAUAAAUUAAAAUAAGUAUCCCUUUAUUAAAAUUAUCAUAAUCAAUUCCAACCAAAUACAAGAGGGAGUCUGAAAAUAUUUGCGAGGGAGCGUGGAAAAUAUUAUUUGGGAAUUAGGACUGCAGUAAAGAAACCAGAUAGAAAAGGUAUGACAUGAAAAAUUGUGAAAGUAUGUUGAAUUUGUAUCAUGUGGGGACCUGAGAAGCUUUUUGGGAGCUGAAGCUCAUACCAACUUUGCCUACCUUGCCUACCUAGUGCCUACCUUACAUAUGCGUAUUAUUUUUUUGGGAAAAUUUUUGGGUAGACAACUGCCUAACUUGCUCAUGGCUUAGGACCGCCACCUUAGUCCCCUGUGAAGUCUGCUUCAGAAUUCGGGAAUGUAGCAAGCCAACUGUCAUUAACCAACAGUAUGUCAAGCUUCCUGGCAAUAAUCUGCUCUCACUAUCUUUGCGGUUGGACCAAGUAUAGCGUCACCUACUAAUGUCCUAGAUAACGAGCGAACCUUAGAGCUCAUGAAGGUGUUUAUAGCACCACGCAACCUCGGGAAGUUUUGCGUAUCAACUCAUGUAUGCGAAUAACAUACAAAACGCAUACCUUUAUUAGAAAGAUAGUAUACAAUGUGGUAUAUAAAUAUGAUAAAUUUAACAUUAUCGAAUAAUCUAAGUAUAGAAUUAUUUAAAAUAAUAUAAAUAAAAUAAAAAAUAUUAGUUGGAAAUGGUUAAGUAAUUAGAAAAUGUGAUUCGAUAGAAUAUCCCAAACUUACCCUUUGACUAGCUAAUUAAUAAAGUAGAGCUAAAUAUAAACAUUCUAGCCAUGCACUGAUAGUCCAUGAUUAAAGGGAGCCACUGUUACGCACUACCUCUGUAGAAGUAAAUGGGAGAGUAAACCCAGUGCGUGGGUGGACAAAUGCAAACUUGGCUUACAUGUAACAUGUUCAAAUUUGGAUCAUAUCCAAAUUUAGAAAACAUAUUACCACCUCUAUUUUGUCUUGACUCAACAUUCGUCAUCUCCCACCUUAACAUGUUCUAACGGAAUUAACUGUCAUUCAGAAAUUUUUGGAUGGUGUGUUCCCUAUAAAUUUCAUGCCUUUUCCCCAUACCAAAUCAGAACAGAGCUGUGGGGGCAUCCGAGUCCUUCUUCCAAUAAGCGAAGCCCCAACAGCGCUCUGCAGCUCACCGGAAAAGGGAAAAAAUUAUAAAAAAAGAAAGAAAAACACGAACACAAUCCCAGUUUUGAUUACUUCUUUCUUCUCCAAUUAAUUCUUUUUCUUUCUCGAAACACAAGUGCGUAUUAAUUUAGCUUAAAUCAUCGAAGAUGGAUGCCAAGAAGAAGAAGAUGAUCAUCAUCGGUGUGGUUGUUUUGCUUGUAGUGGUGAUUGCAGUGGGAGUGACGGUAGGUAUCAUGAAAUCUAAAGCCAAAAAACUCGCCAAAUCCGCAGCCAAGCCCGCCAAGUCGAAAAAGGCCAUUGAGGCGAUUUGCCAGCCGACCAGCUACAAAGAAACCUGCCAGAGCAGCCUCGAGAAGGUGGCCGGUGACACCACCGACCCUAAAGAGCUGGUCAAGGCCGGGUUCCAGGUGGCAGCGGACAAGGUGAACGAGGUGAUCCAGAACUCGGACACCUUGAAAGAUCUGGCAAAGGAUCCCAUGGCUAGCCAGGCUCUGGACGUCUGCAAGGAAAUGUUGAACACCGCCGUUGAGGAUCUCCUCGGCGCUGUCGAUAAGAUGGGGCCUUUCGAGAUUAGCAAGGUCGAUGAUUAUCUGGAAGAUCUGAAAGUGUGGCUGAGCGCGGCCGUCAAUCACCAGGCGACUUGCGUAGAUGCGUUUAAGGACACCAAGGGUGAGGCUGGGGACAAAAUGAAGGGCUUUUUGAAGACAGCACAAGAACUCACGAGUAAUGGGCUUGCCAUGGUCACCCAAAUCUCCUCCCUCUUGGGAUCUCUCAACUUAAACUCUCACCGUAGACUCCUCUCUGCGCAUAGCAAGAGGAACUACCAGGCAGUGCCUUCAUGGAUGGGUGCCCGCCAGCUGCAGCUCUUGACUGCCACCCCACAGAGCCUAAAGCCCAACGUGGUUGUGGCUCAGGAUGGGAGUGGCAAGUACAAGACCAUCAAGGAGGCUUUGAAGGAGGUCCCAACGAAGAGCAAUGAGACCUUUGUGAUCUACAUUAAGGAGGGAGUUUACAAAGAGGAAAUCAUCAUUGAUAGGCAGAUGACCAAUGUCUUCAUGAUUGGUGAUGGCCCUACCAAGACAAAGAUCUCCGGUAGCAAAAACAAGGCAGAUGGCACCGCAACUAUGCAUACUGCAACAUUCGGUACGUAACACGCACUUAAUAACUAACAUGACUAUUCAUCAAAUAUUAAUCAACCAUGACACAUCAAUUGGUGAAUAAAAUUAGUAAACACAUUUGAUGCCCUAGCUAGCAGUAUUCAUUGAUUAAUUAAUUGUUCUUGGUAGUUGAUUUAUAUCCUAAUUCUAACUCAUUUUCUUGUUUAUUGCGUCCUUGCAGCCGCAGUUGGAGACUAUUUCGUUGCCAAGGACAUAAGAUUUGAGAACACAGCAGGGCACAUCAAGCACCAGGCCGUGGCACUGCGUGUGCAAUCUGACUUUUCCAUCUUCUAUAACUGCCAUAUGGACGCGUACCAAGACACCCUCUACACCCAAACCUACCGGCAAUACUACCGGGACUGCACCAUCACCGGGACCGUAGACUUCAUCUUCGGGGAUGGCGUGGCGCUGUUCCAAAACUGCAAGAUGCUGGUGAGAAAGCCAGGGGAUUCACAGUCUUGCAUGGUGACAGCCCAAGGCAGG